AGAGUUUGAUCCUGGCUCAGAUUGAACGCUGGCGGCAUGCCUAACACAUGCAAGUCGAACGAGAUCACCUCGGUGGUCUAGUGGCGGACGGGUGAGUAACACAUGGGAAUCUGCCUUUUAGUGGGGGAUAACGUAGGGAAACUUACGCUAAUACCGCAUACGCUCUACGGAGGAAAGGGGGGGAUCGCAAGACCUCUCGCUAAAAGAUGAGCCCAUGUCUGAUUAGCUAGUUGGUGGGGUAAAGGCCUACCAAGGCGACGAUCAGUAGCCGGCCUGAGAGGGUGUACGGCCACACUGGGACUGAGACACGGCCCAGACUCCUACGGGAGGCAGCAGUGGGGAAUAUUGGACAAUGGGCGAAAGCCUGAUCCAGCAAUGCCGCGUGUGUGAAGAAGGCCUUCGGGUUGUAAAGCACUUUAAGUGGGAAAGAAGUACAUUUAAUUAAUACUUGGAUGUAUUGACGUUACCCACAGAAUAAGCACCGGCUAACUCCGUGCCAGCAGCCGCGGUAAUACGGAGGGUGCAAGCGUUAAUCGGAAUUACUGGGCGUAAAGCGUAUGUAGGCGGUUUGAUCAGUCGGAUGUGAAAUCCCCGAGCUUAACUUGGGAAUGGCAUUCGAAACUAUCAAGCUAGAGUAGGCUAGAGGAAAGGGGAAUUCCGCGUGUAGCAGUGAAAUGCGUAGAUAUGCGGAGGAACACCAAUGGCGAAGGCACCUUUCUGGGGUCAUACUGACGCUGAGAUACGAAAGCGUGGGGAGCAAACAGGAUUAGAUACCCCGGUAGUCCAAGCCGUAAAUGAUGCUUGCUAGGUGUUUGAUUCGCUUCUGCGGAUUGAGUGCCGAACCUAACGGAUUAAGCAAGCCGCCUGGGAAGUAUACUCGCAAGAGUGAAACUCAAAGGGAUAGGCGGGGGAACACACAAGCAGUGGAUUAUCUAGAUUAAUUGGAUAAUAAGCCAAAAAUCUUACCUAGGCUUGACAUACAUUGUGUCGUAGUGGAAACAUUACUAUUCGUAGCAAUACGAAGCGUUGUACAGGUGGUGCAUGGUCGUCGUCAGCUCGUGCCGCAAGGUGUCUAGUUAAGUCUAGCAACGAGCGCAACCCUCGUCCUGUGUUAUUAUGUCACAGGAGACUGCUUUGGUAACAAAGAGGAAGGAGAGGAUGAUGUCAGAUCCUCAUGCCCCUUAUGUCUAGGGCGUCAUAGAUAAUACAAUGGGUAGGACAAUGCGAGGCAAUAUCGUGAGAUGGAGCAAAACGCGAAACCUAUCCUCAGUUCGGAUUGUAGUCUGGAACUCGACUACAUGAAGUUGGAAUUGCUAGUAAUGGCGGGUCAGCCACACCGCCGUGAAUAUGUCCCUGUUCCUUGCACUCACCGCCCGUCAAAUCACGGAAGU
rnacentral:rRNA from 1 species